AGAGUUUGAUCCUGGCUCAGGAUGAACGCUAGCUACAGGCUUAACACAUGCAAGUCGAGGGGCAUCAGGAAGAAAGCUUGCUUUCUUUGCUGGCGACCGGCGCACGGGUGAGUAACACGUAUCCAACCUGCCCUUUACUCGGGGAUAGCCUUUCGAAAGAAAGAUUAAUACCCGAUAGUAUAAUGAUUCCGCAUGGUUUCAUUAUUAAAGGAUUCCGGUAAAGGAUGGGGAUGCGUUCCAUUAGGUUGUUGGUGAGGUAACGGCCCACCAAGCCUUCGAUGGAUAGGGGUUCUGAGAGGAAGGUCCCCCACAUUGGAACUGAGACACGGUCCAAACUCCUACGGGAGGCAGCAGUGAGGAAUAUUGGUCAAUGGGCGCUAGCCUGAACCAGCCAAGUAGCGUGAAGGAUGAAGGCUCUAUGGGUCGUAAACUUCUUUUAUAUAAGAAUAAAGUGCAGUAUGUAUACUGUUUUGUAUGUAUUAUAUGAAUAAGGAUCGGCUAACUCCGUGCCAGCAGCCGCGGUAAUACGGAGGAUCCGAGCGUUAUCCGGAUUUAUUGGGUUUAAAGGGAGCGUAGGUGGACUGGUAAGUCAGUUGUGAAAGUUUGCGGCUCAACCGUAAAAUUGCAGUUGAUACUGUCAGUCUUGAGUACAGUAGAGGUGGGCGGAAUUCGUGGUGUAGCGGUGAAAUGCUUAGAUAUCACGAAGAACUCCGAUUGCGAAGGCAGCUCACUGGACUGCAACUGACACUGAUGCUCGAAAGUGUGGGUAUCAAACAGGAUUAGAUACCCUGGUAGUCCACACAGUAAACGAUGAAUACUCGCUGUUUGCGAUAUACAGUAAGCGGCCAAGCGAAAGCAUUAAGUAUUCCACCUGGGGAGUACGCCGGCAACGGUGAAACUCAAAGGAAUUGACGGGGGCCCGCACAAGCGGAGGAACAUGUGGUUUAAUUCGAUGAUACGCGAGGAACCUUACCCGGGCUUAAAUUGCAGUGGAAUGAUGUGGAAACAUGUCAGUGAGCAAUCACCGCUGUGAAGGUGCUGCAUGGUUGUCGUCAGCUCGUGCCGUGAGGUGUCGGCUUAAGUGCCAUAACGAGCGCAACCCUUAUCUUCAGUUACUAACAGGUCAUGCUGAGGACUCUGGAGAGACUGCCGUCGUAAGAUGUGAGGAAGGUGGGGAUGACGUCAAAUCAGCACGGCCCUUACGUCCGGGGCUACACACGUGUUACAAUGGGGGGUACAGAAGGCAGCUAGCGGGUGACCGUAUGCUAAUCCCAAAAGCCUCUCUCAGUUCGGAUCGAAGUCUGCAACCCGACUUCGUGAAGCUGGAUUCGCUAGUAAUCGCGCAUCAGCCACGGCGCGGUGAAUACGUUCCCGGGCCUUGUACACACCGCCCGUCAAGCCAUGGGAGCCGGGGGUACCUGAAGUACGUAACCGCAAGGAUCGUCCUAGGGUAAAACUGGUGACUGGGGCUAAGUCGUAACAAGGUAGCCGUACCGGAAGGUGCGGCUGGAACACCU
rnacentral:rRNA from 1 species